rnacentral:rRNA from 1 species
GUGGGGAAUAUUGGGCAAUGGGCGAAAGCCUGACCCAGCAACGCCGCGUGAAGGAAGAAGGCUUUCGGGUUGUAAACUUCUUUUGUCAGGGACGAAAAAAAUGACGGUACCUGACGAAUAAGCCACGGCUAACUACGUGCCAGCAGCCGCGGUAAUACGUAGGUGGCAAGCGGUAUCCGGAUUUACUGGGUGUAAAGGGCGUGUAGGCGGGAAAGCAAGUCAGAUGUGAAAACUAUGGGCUCAACCCAUAGCCUGCAUUUGAAACUGUUUUUCUUGAGUACUGGAGAGGCAGAUGGAAUUCCUAGUGUAGCGGUGAAAUGCGUAGAUAUUAGGAGGAACACCAGUGGCGAAGGCGAUCUGCUGGACAGCAACUGACGCUGAGGCGCGAAAGCGUGGGGAGCAAACAGGAUUAGAAACCCCUGUAGUCC